GAGUCGUUAACUGGGCGUUAAGUUGGCAGGGUAUAGACCCGAAACCCGGUGAUCUAGCCAUGGGCAGGUUGAAGGUUGGGUAACACUAACUGGAGGACCGAACCGACUAAUGUUGAAAAAUUAGCGGAUGACUUGUGGCUGGGGGUGAAAGGCCAAUCAAACCGGGAGAUAGCUGGUUCUCCCCGAAAGCUAUUUAGGUAGCGCCUCGUGAAUUCAUCUUCGGGGGUAGAGCACUGUUUCGGCUAGGGGGUCAUCCCGACUUACCAACCCGAUGCAAACUACGAAUACCGAAGAAUGUUAUCACGGGAGACACACGGCGGGUGCUAACGUCCGUCGUGAAGAGGGAAACAACCCAGACCGCCAGCUAAGGUCCCAAAGUCAUGGUUAAGUGGGAAACGAUGUGGGAAGGCAC
rnacentral:rRNA from 1 species